UUUCAAUUCCAGAACAUAUAACAGAGAAAUUUAUGUUUGUCUUUUUUACUGGAUUUCAGUAAUAUAAGUAAAUGGAUCUGAUACCCAUCUAAAAAUGUAGACACUUUCCAAAUGAUAUUUGCAGUCAAGUCAGCAGGUGUCAAAUGAAAAAAAAGAAGAAAAUGCGUGCAGGGCAGCACCUGUGUAGGUGUGAACAGGGCCAUCUGAACCUGAGAUAAUGGUUUGGGACACCAUGAUGUCAACUUGGUGUAAAAUGAUUAUCAUAUCACCUGUAAUUUCAGUGACAAUACUUGCAUGGGGAGUUGAGAUGAUGUUUGAAAAACAUUUGCAGAUUGUACAAAUUACUGAAAGCAAUUAAUGUUAAUUAAAAAGUUUUGUAUUGACAACUGCUAAAAUGGCUAGGGAACAACCUACCUGUAAAACAUUUUUAAAAAAAUCUCAGGGAACACAGAGAAGACCUGAAAACACUGGGAUGUAAUAAGUGAGAAUGAGACAGUUCCUUGUUAUCCAGGUUUAUUAAUUAUUUUGAAAGUUUGUCUCAAAAUAUUGUUCCUUUUGAGUACUGGAAUAGAAGGUAUAGCAGAACAUGAGAUAGAAAAAGAGAUAAAAAGAGAUAAAUAGAAAGGGUAGCUGGGUGGUUCAAAUGAACAAAUAUCUGCGAUGUCAUUCAGUAAGUCUUAUUCCAGAAAUUAUUGAGGUUCUUACAUCUUUGGGCACUUUGGUAGCUAUACUGCACCAUUAUUGUAUAAGACACAUAAUCUAGCUUCUAAUGGAGAGACAGCAUUACAUAAAACCAAGUUAUUAAAUUUAGUUAAUUAGUAUAAAGUUUUAUGGAAAAUGGAGAAAAGUAAGCACAGAUGAUGAAACAUUCAGUGGUCAAGGAUCAGUGGCAGCAUAAAAUAUGUUAAAGAUGUGAGGGGACAGGUCUGAUUCUUCCUUUGAAAUCUAUAAACGUUCCUUCUUUUCCUUGCACUGUUGUAAUGAGAGGACUACAAUUUGGGUAAAAUAAUGAAGCGCUCCAAAUAGACAACUAACUUCCACUGGACCCACUUUCCUUCCCUUCCCGGUUCUAGCAGAAAAUAGAAAGUGCUGCGAUCAAGAUUCAGCCACUCACUUUGCAUUGGAGACAACCCAUCUUGUCUUCUUCAGGACAGGAUGCCUGGAACUCAUUACCUUCUUACAGUGCUAUCUUCCCUCCUCCAUCUCAUUCCCAACAACAUCCACACGUGGUGGUGUGGCCACAGUAAACAAUGUAGUACUGCUGUUCCAGCCUGCAUUCAGCUGAUACUAUUGUCCUACUAUUGUCCUACUAUUGCCCUGGUGUAGCUCAGCAGAUUGAAUGCCGACUUGCAAACCAAAGUACUCCACGGUUCAAUUCCCAGUCAGGACACAUUCUUGGGUUGUGGGCCACGUCUCCAGUAGGGGACAUGCUGAAAGAC